rnacentral:rRNA from 1 species
CCUACGGGAGGCAGCAGUGAGGAAUAUUGGUCAAUGGCCGAGAGGCUGAACCAGCCAAGUCGCGUGAGGGAAGACGGCCCUACGGGUUGUAAACCUCUUUUGUCGGGGAGCAAAGAGAGUCACGUGUGACUCAUUGAGAGUACCCGAAGAAAAAGCAUCGGCUAACUCCGUGCCAGCAGCCGCGGUAAUACGGAGGAUGCGAGCGUUAUCCGGAAUGACUGGGCGGAAAGGGUGCGUAGGUGGUCUGGCAAGUUAGUAGCGAAACUCCAAGGCUCAACCUUGGAACUACUACUAAAACUGUUGGACUUGAGUGCAGGAGGGGCAACCGGAAUUCCUAGUGUAGCGGUGGAAUGCGUAGAUAUUAGGAGGAACACCAGUGGCGAAGGCGGGUUGUUAGACUGUAACUGACACUGAGGCACGAAAGCGUGGGGAGCAAACAGGAUUAGAUACCCUAGUAGUC